UACGUAGGGGGCAAGCGUUGUCCGGAAUCAUUGGGCGUAAAGAGCGCGUAGGCGGUCCGGUAAGUCUGCCGUGAAAGCCAGGGGCUCAACCCUUGGAUGCCGGUGGAUACUGUCGGGCUAGAGUCCGGAAGAGGCGAGUGGAAUUCCUGGUGUAGCGGUGAAAUGCGCAGAUAUCAGGAGGAACACCUAUGGCGAAGGCAGCUCGCUGGGACGGUACUGACGCUGACGACGCGAAAGCUGGGGAGCAAACAGGAUUAGAAACCCUGGU
rnacentral:rRNA from 1 species